rnacentral:lncRNA from 1 species
CUGUCUGUCAGCUUCAGGCUCUGGAAGUGGAAAGCGCCAGCCCCGUGGGUUUGGUGUCAGCAGGUCUGUGGCCUGGGGUCCUGGCAGUGCCCAGAGGAUCAGGGAGGACCCAGUCAACCCUGCCCUGCUGAGGCUGCCUUGGAACCAGCAGGGCUGGGCCUGAGGGAGGGGCUACCCUGUGGAGGGCACGCACAGCAGCCUCCUGCUCUUAGCAGAAGGACAGGGAAGACGACUGGGGUGCUGGCGGGCGGGGAGUAGGGAGCUGCCCUGUCCUGAGAGACUCUAAUGACGCCCUAAGGCGCAAGUCAGCGGGUGCUUGAACACACUGACAGCAGUUUGAAAACCAGCGUCUCCAAAAGACUCAUUUCACCCCAAGUCCCUGGCCUUUACCCGACUUUCCCUGCAUGCAAGUGAUAGACCCAACCUGAUCUUUUCUUAAAAUUGGGCAUCUCCCCCACAAAACCAUGAAAAGAUGAUUUCGGCUUUACUAUAAAUUACUGCAAAUUCUGAACCUGCUUGGAAUGCCUGCCCGUGCCUUGAACUCACCCAUGCCUGGCUCUCUGACCAGGUAGCAGCCCUCUCUGAAACUUAGUAACACCUCAUAAAUCUUGGCCUUCCCUGGCCAGACAACGACCCUCUCUGAGGCUCUAAUGGUCCUCAUAAAUUCUGAUGUUGGGGCCAGCAAAAAAUGUAAACUACCAUUAGUGUGAUGCUUGUCAGAGUUCUGUUAUCUGUAACCCCCCCUCUGUGUAACUUUCUGGGCUAUAAAGCUGGGCUGCAGGAAAGCUGGGGUGCUGUCUUGUUCCCGCGUUUUGGGAG